rnacentral:rRNA from 1 species
UACGGGGGGGGGCAAGCGUUGUUCGGAAUUACUGGGCGUAAAGGGCUCGUAGGCGGCCAACUAAGUCAUACGUGAAAUCCCUCGGCUUAACCGGGGAACUGCGUCUGAUACUGGAUGGCUAGAGUUUGGGAGAGGGAUGCGGAAUUCCAGGUGUAGCGGUGAAAUGCGUAGAUAUCUGGAGGAACACCGGUGGCGAAGGCGGCAUCCUGGACCAACACUGACGCUGAGGAGCGAAAGCCAGGGGAGCAAAGCGGG